rnacentral:lncRNA from 1 species
CGAGUGCACCUGGCCUGAGAGCCCGCCAGGCCCUGCCCCUGCUCGGCUCCUCGUCUGCUGAAGCUCGGGACCUCUAGCCAGUGGCCCUCUGCAGCCACGGGGAAUGGGGCUGAGAGCCGGUUCCCGCUGCAGGGCAGACCACCUAGCUCAGCCGCAGCCACAGGGACAUCUGGCCCCGGUUCUGAGAUGUGGGGAGUGCUGGCGGGCUCGGGGGUUGCCUGGAGGCUGCUGCCUGCACACAGAAGGCGGAUGCAGCUUGGGUGCCCAGGCGGGCUGGAGGGACAGCGGGCUGGGAAGCCAGGGGCCGCCGGGACCUGGGGCUGGAAACCACAUCUGCCCACAGCCGCAGCCUCCUGCACCUGUCAUCCUGGCGGCGCCCUGACGUCGGAGAAGCAGCAGGCGCGGAGCUCCUGCAGCGGGCACCGCUGCAGCAACCCGACCCGGCGCAGGCGGCAGUGGAAGGCGGCCUGCUAGCACGGCUCCCGCGGCCCCAGGACCAGGGGUGCGGCCAGCACCGCCCUCACUCCCCGCGUCUCGUGGAUAUUGCCCUCCCUGGAGGCGGCUGGACCUAAGCGAGGCUCGCAGCGAUCGGCCCCGCGAAGACUCGCAUGCAGGGCUCAGGAUCCCGCAUUCUGGCGCCGCGGCACCGCACCUUUCAGCAGCCCUGCUCCUCUUCUUGUUGGUAAACUUUUGUCACUCUGCCAUGAAAAGCAUCCAGGCGUCCUUGAUUUCGACAUUGCGUGCACGCUCAGCCGAGCUCAUCAGACGGGCGGUUGUCCCCAGAGCCCGCGGGUAGCUUGUUCCCGGGCGGCGGCUCCUGCUGGAUGCAGCUCCUUGUGGGCCUACCAGGCUUGGUGGAGCCACAGCAGACCUGUGGAGAGGAAGAGUAAGGCGGGCUCUGCAGGGCAGUGGGCCGGGACCAUGAGAGAGGCGGGUCAGUCUGGGCUCCAAGCUCAGCCUCUCGGAUUCCCCGGGACCCACGGCUUAUAAUGCGCUUAAAUCCCACGCCUCGCCCGAGAGACAGCACGUCACCGUCACCGUCACCGCCUAGCGCCCCUGACCCGCUCCCACUCCGCUGCAGCGGAGGGUGUGUGAGGGAGAGGGACGCAGGGAGGGAAAAGCGUUGGGAGGGCAAACAUCUUUUCAUAAGCUUUUCCCCUUCUAUAUGCCAUCUCUGAUGGGAGCCUCUUUAGAUCUUUCGUCCAUUUACUAAUUGGGUUGUUCGAUUUCUUAUUGUUGAGUUGUAAGUGGUUUUUAAUGGUCUGGAUGCCAGACAGGUGUUUUGCAAAUAUUUUCUCCGUCUGUGGCUUGUUUCUCCAUUCUCUUAUUUCCUUUCCCAGAGCAAAAGUUUUUAAUUGUAACGACUUCAUACCAAUAUCUUCUUUCAUGGUAGAAAUUUGUCUUUUAUGUACUUUACUGUUGUAUCUACAAAGUAAUUGCCAAACCCAAAGUUACCUAAAUAUCCCUUUUGUUAUUUUACAGAAGUUUUACAGCUUUUGGAUUUAAAUUUAGGUCUAAAAAUUGAAUUCAUAAAAGUAGAGAGUAUAAUGAUGCUUACCAGAGGCUGUGUUGCUGGGGAGAAAAAUGGGAAGUUGUUCACAGAUGCAAAGAUUCAGUUAAACCGGAGAAAUGCGUUUUGAAAUCUAUUGCACAGCAGGAUGACUAUAGUCAAUAAUAAUGUACUGUAUAUUUAAAUAACAAAAAGUAAAUUUCAAAUAUCUAACCACAAAAAA